GACGAACGCUGGCGGCGUGCUUAACACAUGCAAGUCGAACGGAAACGCCCUGCUUUUGUGGGGUGCUCGAGUGGCGAACGGGUGAGUAACACGUGAGUAACCUGCCCUUGACUUUGGGAUAACUUCAGGAAACUGGGGCUACUACCGGAUCGGAGCUCCUGCUGCAUGGUGGGGGUUGGAACGUUUCGGCGGUUGGGGAUGGACUCGCGGCUUAUCAGCUUGUUGGUGGGGUAGUGGCUUACCCAGGCUUUGACGGGUAGCCGGCCUGUGAGGGUGACCGGCCACAAUGGGACUGAGAGACGGCCCAGACUCCAACGGGAGGCAGCAGUGGGGAAUAUUGCACAAUGGGCGGAAGCCUGAGGCAGAAACGCCGCGUGCGGGAUGACGGCCUUCGGGUUGUAAACCGCUUUCGCCUGUGACGAAGCGUGAGUGACGGUAAUGGGUAAAGAAGCACCGGCUAACUACGUG
rnacentral:rRNA from 1 species